UCUCAGAAUUGUAAUAAUUGUUUGUUUAUGUAUAAAAACCCUUGAUUGAGAGCUACAAAAUACACUCAGAUUCAAACUGCCUCUGUGUUUGUUUCUGUUUGUCACCACUGAAUUCUUACUCACCAGCCUUUUAGGAUCCUUGUCACAGAGACCCGCAUACCCGACUGAGGUGGUCCAUGGCAGUCGGCACCCAAACGCGGGGCUCAAAUCAGUGGACGCCGUACUUUGGCCCUGCCUUGAGCUGGAAGUAUCCUAGUGUACCUCCUGUACGUCUCUCUGGACUCUUCUUAUGGCCACCUUCAAGGAGAUGGGAGUGUCUGGCUUCAAGGAUUUCAACAUGGCAGUAAAGGAGAACCAGGAAAAAAGCACUCUCUCCUAAUUCAAUGAUUUUAAGGAUGGCAAAGGGAAAAGCUGGUUUCCAGAGUGCUUGGAAGCAGAGUUAGUCAUUUGAGAGGUGCUAACUUAUGUUACUGAUGACUGUGUGUUCAUCUACUGCCAAGCAAGUGUCAGAUAUUUUGGAAAGAAAUAAAUCAUGACUUCAGAAAAAAAAUAAAACUACCUGCAGUGCCUACAUUACUUAAAUAUGGAGCACCUCAAAAACUUGUGGAGUUUGAGUGCCUUAGACCAUUUUAGUGGAGAUAAUCUCUGAAGCUUAUCAUUUGAUGACCUCUCCCAUGUGACAGUAGUGUCACGUGCCUUUGGUUCUAGCACUCAGCAGGCAGAGGCAGGGGAUCCAUAAGUUUGAGACCAGCCUUAUCUGCAGAGAGUUCCAGGACAGCCAGGGUUGCACAGAAGCCCUGUCUAGAGCUCCUCUCCCUCCUAAAAAGUUUUGAUGAUUGCAAUUGCAUCUUGAUUUCCUGGAUCUCUUAAAACCAGUCAUAUACUUUUGUCAAGUCCAUGGGUAAAUGAUGAUGUGAAAAUGAAUGUGUCUAAACAAUAAAGUAUUACUUUUCUGUUUUUUUCUUAA